CCAGGUCCUAGUCCAAUCAAAUGUUUCUCAUAGAGACUUGAGGCACAUGCAUGACAAACCCUGCAAACUUGCCAAUCCGUUUGGUCACAUAAAUCUAAUGAAUCUAAUGCUUUUCUAUAUGAAGUAUUAAACAGAGGAAGUGUAUGCUUGCAAAAAGAUCAUCCAAGAGGGUGGAUAAGGGGAGUGGAAGGUAGAAUUUGGGAGGAAAAGAGGCAGAGGACACAUUUGUGUGAGAGAUAGCUAUCACCAAGGAGGGAGAAAGUAGAGUUACAUUGAGUGAUGUCACUAAGGACAGAGAGGAGGCACAUCAUGAGACUGAUGAGACUGUGCGCGCGAGUCGUAUCCACCUAGUCCAAAGGGCUUCUACUUGCAGACACACUCAAAGUGCUGCUUGCAGACACACUCAAAGUGCUGCAUACAUCGCCAGCCCACAGCGCGUCCUGAUGACACACAUUAUGUUUGUACAGAUCCUGGCUGCCUAAGUCACGUGUGCCGGAGGUGCAACUUGAUCCUGGCACAAAAGUGAAGAUAUGAUUGUAUGUGUAUUUAAGGAGAAAAACUGC